GACGAACCGUGCGAACGUUAUUCGGAAUCACUGGGCUUAAAGGGCGCGUAGGCGGGCCGGCAAGUCAGGGGUGAAAGCCUCCAGCUCAACUGGAGAAGUGCCUUUGAUACUGCCGGCCUCGAGGGAGGUAGGGGCGUGCGGAACUUCCGGUGGAGCGGUGAAAUGCGUAGAUAUCGGAAGGAACAUCGGUGGCGAAAGCGGCGCGCUGGACCUCUACUGACGCUGAGGCGCGAAAGCCAGGGGAGCAAACGGG
rnacentral:rRNA from 1 species